ensembl:lncRNA
CUAAAGCUUCCUCAGAUUAUUUGCUGAAAUGAAAUAUUUUCAGAGUACAGGCAGGACUGAACCUUUUAUUCUUCCUUAGGGAUAAGGACAAGGAAAACUUCAGCUCAGAUGUGGACACCUACGAAGCACUGGCAAGGGAAUGGAAUAUUCAGCCUUUCAGAGCAUCUCAGUAGAAUACCAUUUUUGUGCUGCAGUGAGUCAAUGAGGAUCUGCUUCUCCACUGGACAACAAAAUUAGGUUUUGCAGGCCAUUCUGAGCACUACGCUUAUGGACGUGGUUAUGCUGUUCCCAGACACUGACCUGACUGGAGCAGCGGGAGCUGAACACGCCUGCAAGUCUCUAGCUGCCUUCUGGCCACAGUGUGGGUGUCUGGGAAGGCUGCAGCUGCAGCAGAAGUGGAAGCACAUGGGAAAAUGACUCACCUCCCAGGGGCUAGACAUGGAUUUUCAACCCAGCAGAGCACAGGAAAUAUGACAUGAAGGUGGAGCGUUGUGCUACUCGAGGAACAAAAUGUCAUGGCAAAUAACUGCUUUGAGUCUGGCCUAUUCUUUAACAGACUUGUAGGCUGUGAAGAUCCAGAGUACAAGCCUUUACUCUGGGAACCAUUGCCAAGGAGAUGAUUAUUCAUUAAUGAUAUAAUCUUUGACCUGGAAGCCCUGUGCUCUGAGCACAGCCUGUGAAGCAACAGGGCCCUGGGGACAACCACACGUGUGUUCGAAGUCCAGCGCUGCAGGGAGUGAAAAGAGCAGCCAGUCACUGAAGAAAGAGUGAAUAACUCUCUCUGCCCGCCUGCUUUAGUGAGGACACGUUUACCAGGUGCCUCAUGAGGGACUCGAGGAAAAUACCAGAGACACCCAACUCAUUUCAUUUUGAAAACUGUGAAGGGAGAUGGUAGCUGUAGGUACCAGGAAUGUGCUGUCAUUGAAAUACAGUCCCAGUGUUUCUCAGCCUGCUCAUCCUGUGCAGUCUGUGAGAACCAGGGCACAGGGGCAAUGUAAAGUUGGAGCUGGAGAUGCCAGGGCCUGCAGCUGCCUUAGCUCAGGGUCAGCCCACAGCACACGGCUGCCUCAGGGCCCCUGGGGGCCCAGGAAGCCCCAGGUGCAAAUGUGUCUGCGUUGCACAGCUCAGACUCUGGACACACAGAGAAGCCUGUGGUCCCACAGCUCUGCAGGUGAACUAUUGGAAAUACUGAGUUUGGACUGCGGUUUAUCCAAGGUUCAUCAAGCCAGGUACGUUUUUACAAAGCAGAUUGAUUUUUACAGAUAAACCACUUCUGGACUAAAAAAGAAAAACAAGAUAAACUGUUGGAGAGCUCUCAGCUGGGUCCUUGCAUGUGGUCUUAUGUGCUGAAAAGAGAGGAGGCCAAAAGAGUUCAGAUCAACAACACAGGG